CCCCCCCCCCCCCCCCUUCCUCGCCUGCCAGCGCACCCCCGCGUGCACCGCGGCCCCUGCCAACCACCCGCGGCCGCCACGCCUUGGCCGCCAGCAGCGCCGCCGCCAGUCUCCACCGCCGCCGCCACAGAGUAAGAGGAGGAGCUCGACCCCACGCAGCCCGUGCCAAAGUUGCCGCCGCCACCCAGAAGAAGAGAAGCAGAGGAGGAGCCGAGGAGGAGAGGGAAGGAGAAGAGGAGGAGGAUCUCCCUCUGGGGCUCGACAUUGCCGCCACGCCGGAGGAGAGGAGGAACGCGAGGAGGAGGGGAACGCCGCCGCCAGGAGCACGACCUCAAAGUCACCGCCACCGCUAGGAGCACGACAUCACAGUCGCCUCGCCGUCCUCGCUGCCGCGGGGUGGCCUUCGGUGGCAACGGCUGCAGAUCUGGAGAAUCCUGUGGGGCUGCUGCGCAGUACCAAGGAGGCUAGGAGCCGGCCUUUGCAGCCUUCAGUACGAGUAAUGUGUUGCUUUUCCCCUAACCUGCUAAUUCACGUGGAACCGCGACUACUCUUCAACUCGGGAGCCAGGACAAGCGGCGCCUCUUCCCACUGCUAAUUAUGUGUUCUCUGCUCUGUUCAAUUACUACUGCUUUUGUGCUUAAUUAAUUAUGUGAAAUUUAUUUGUAACUGGAGAAAGUAGGUAUAUACUGCAAGCUCCAAUAGAAUAGCUCUGCAAAUAAGGAUACUGCAUGCUGAAGUGGAUAAUUGGAGUAUCUAUGUACUAGUUACAAUUGUUGCAUUUCCAUUCAGAUUGUCCCAUUCUGAUAGCACGUCCUGCAGGCAAAGGUUUAGUUGCCCAUAGCAAAGAUCGCAAUAUGGCAUGUUAUCAAUGGAGUCUGAGCUAUGCCAUAAUUUUCUUGCUUUCUUAGUUGUAUGUAUAUUCCUUGGUUUGAUUUCUGAAGUUUCCCUGAUGAAGAUUUCAGUUUUUUAUCAUGGUGUCCAUUGCAGCGAGGAGAGAUUUCAAGUUUGGAAGCUUGAAUGACGUGGCUGUGUACAAUUGCAAUAUGGCUCGAUUGUGCCAUAAAUAAUAAAUAAAUAACUAUAGGAAACUAUUUUGGUAAUGGACUGAUCUCAUAGCUGUCCUAUUUUGCUGCUGCAGACAGAUGUUAAGGGCAACCACAAUGUUAGGAAAAAGUAGUCCAUAGUGAAUUAAAUAAUCUUUACCAGGUGGCUGAUACAUUGUGAGAGUAGUCAAUAGGGAAGAAAUAAUAAAAGCCAACCAUAGGGCUAUGGCCUGCCCAUAUGACAAUAAAAAAUGUUUCUUCUACUGUACAUCUGACACAGUACGUUAAACAAAUAAAGAGCCAUAGGCUCCAGUUGCUAGCCAUUGGGCGUUGGCCUCCUCUUCUUGCCUGCUUGCUACCUGUACAAAUACUGAAUGAGUUUGUUGCUCAAAUCUCAGCACUUGAGAUUCAACUCUAGAACACAACCACCUUCCAAUGGAACCCAACCCCAGAAACAUUUCAAACCUCUUGAAUCAUGACUCUCCAUCUCAGUACUCAUCAGAGGGAAGUGGCCAGUUCUCACCUCCUACACCCCAAUCUCAGUUUCCCUUUGGGACAUCCAAUUUUCUACAGAACUUCAAUCCUUUUGGUCCUCCAGGAAUCCACCCACCAUAUGGCCAUUCUCCUCUCAUAUUUCAAGGUGUUCACCAGCCAGGGAGUUGGCUUCAAGCUCGCCCACCAAUGUAUGGAUUCACAGAUGUACUAGACAAAGACAUGGAAAUUCGUGAUGGAUCAACUCACACUCGGCUGAAGGAAGAUUUGAUAGAGCACAUAUGACAAAAAUUCAGUACACAGCAGCAUGAACCAGAGCAAGAGUAGAGUCUCAUCCAUGUAAUUUUACAGUAUCGCCUCAGCUAGAAUAAUGGCUUGUCCAAUUAAUUUAGGAUUGUGUGUUUUUCUUCAAUGGCUUUGUAAUCUUGGAAAAUGUACUUCUUCAUUUCAUUAUACUGAGAUAAUUCUUAACUUGUUCAAGUAGUAGAGAUUGAACGUGGUUCGGAGUU